GGACCAGGGGCAGCUCCCAUCGUGCGGCUGGGCGGGCCUGGCUCCGCCCGGUGGGGAAACGGGGACUCUCAGGAGAGGAGACUAGACGCCUUGCUGAAGGGUGGGCCAGCACUACUGAGAGUCAGCCUUAGGGAGGGCAAGGGGACUGCAUGGAAGAUCGGCACAGGCGGCUCCGGGACAGUAAGGUCCUGACCGGCUCGCGGGUGAGCUCCGUGCUGGACUUGGCCAUGGCAGCCGCUGUUGCUGCCACUGCUGCAGAGGAGCCGCCGCUGCCGCCGGGGAGCCGCGGCACAUGCUAGAUCCGGCUCCGGCUCCGGCAGGGCCCGAGCGCUGAGCGCUGCAGCAGCCGCUGAGCCCGCUCCUGUCAGGGGCGGCUGCGCGAGCGCUCCAGCCCCCGCCUCCCAGCGCCAGGUCCCCCACCCUGCCCGGGGAAGUGCCGGACUGAGCAUGCGCUGCGCCUUAGGGCCGCGUGAGACCCUGCGCGAGUGCCCACCCCUCCUGCCGGUUCUCUCGUGCGUCGUCCUGUGCGUGUUACCUUGAGCCUGGGCUGUCUCCCUGGCGGGGGACAUCGUGCCACACUCUCCGGGCACCCUGAGCAAAACCUAUUUCUUUUGUGUGUGGGCCUGGGUACCCCAGGUCAUCCUUGCAAGGUCUGUCCCUUUUCAUGUUUGUUUGGGCCGGUCCAUCUCGCCCUCGCUAACCUGCGAGGGAACUCGUGGUCCAGGGAGAGGACUUGGCCAGAUCUGGGGGAGUUCGUCCUUCCUUUUCUGUUCACCCAGCCUUGGGGAUCCCUGUGGCGCCCUUGGCACCAUCCCUGUGGAAAUAGCACCUGGGAAUUCCUCUGCCACCUCCUUCCAGUUGGUAGCUCUGCAGAUGCCUUCAUCCCUGAGCAUCAGGCUCAGAUCCUGGAGACAAGGGAGGAGGAUUACAGGGACCCAGACAUCCAGUCCACUCAGACUUAUGCUCUCUGCUCAGCUACCACACCUGUGUAUGCCGAACU